AAAAUCUGUGUAGACAUGCAUGUGUUGCACUGAAAUUUCGGAAAAAAACUAGGCGGUCGACCCGGACUUGGGGCGUGGUCGACCGGCCCGUCCAUAUCUCGGUUACUCUCCCCCACUGCCUUUUCU
ensembl:ncRNA K09F5.10 ncRNA